rnacentral:rRNA from 1 species
UAGUGGCGCACGGGUGCGUAACGCGUGGGAAUCUGCCCCUGGGUUCGGAAUAACAGCGAGAAAUUGCUGCUAAUACCGGAUGAUGACGAAAGUCCAAAGAUUUAUCGCCCAGGGAUGAGCCCGCGUAGGAUUAGCUAGUUGGUGAGGUAAGAGCUCACCAAGGCGACGAUCCUUAGCUGGUCUGAGAGGAUGAUCAGCCACAUUGGGACUGAGACACGGCCCAAACUCCUACGGGAGGCAGCAGAAA